AUUGCAGUCGUCGUCGUCGUUGCCGUGGACACCGUUGUCAACAGAACAACAACGCCCGACGACCCACCACUACUGGAGAUCAAUGACUGAACUAUGAACCACGCUGGACUAUGGCAGACUAGACUGCAGUGAUCACGUCCAGGUGGAAUUCACAGUCCUAAGAAGUACAGCUUAAAUGAAGAGUAAAUAGAAUAAAAGAGAAUGGAAUUCUUUCAAUAGCAAUGGAUUCAGAAGAUCAUUCAGUCCAACUGUCACCAGGGGCUGACCCACAGUUAAACAUGGACAGACACAAAGCAUCAGCCACAUGCCUAGGAAGCUGUAAGAGACUAUUCUUUUAUAUCAUUGACUCAAAGUUUGCUGAGGAUCAAGUCCAGGCAAGUCCUGGGCAAAGGCAGAGAAAUCUUUUGUCUUGAGGACACUGAUGGACAGGUCCUGGCUAAGGAUUGUGAAAUCCUCUAAGGAGCACAGAUGGACAAGGCCAGGGGCAUCGAGAGAGAGAUAAGCUGCUGCUAAUGGCCGGGAAGCGGUCUUUUUGUGUGGACUUAUCUCAAGGAAAAUGGCCAUCUCAGGAGGUAUGCACAGGACUCUUGCUCAAGCACCCAGGAAUGUCACGUAGACAGCAGAAAAUGGAGAAUAAAAGAGGGUCCAAUAACCACAACGCUGGAAGCUGAUCCUUCACCACAACCACGGCAACGGGAGAGGCUUAUCUCUCACCACGACAGACUUGAGGGGUUCUCUGCCAACUGAUCUCUCACCGCAACGUGUAGACGGAUCUCUACGUGGAGACUGAUCUCUCACCACGACACGAGCUUCCUGCCUUCCGAUCCUCCUCUACGGACCGUUUGCUGACGGACUUCCCUGGGCCUGCUACCUGAGACCUGCUGCUUCCUCCCUGGCCUGCAUCCUCUCGCUGCCCCAGACCGGCCUCGCUGCUCCUGCCCUUCGGCCUCGGACCGUCGGAACGUCGUGCAACGGGACUGCUGCCGGAUCCUGGUGGUGACUAUCCCCGCUUUACGCAAUUCUUGCCUCUUUCUAUCUUUUCUAUCGCUCGCCUUCCCUUCCCCAUCACCCCAAUCCUUAAUAGCGUCCGUCCUCCCCUUUCCCCAUCUCUCUUAUUAACAUUUAUAAUAAACUGGUCGGACCAACAUUUGAACCGUUGUUUCUUAAUCUCACGCCGGGCAUACAUAUUUCAAAGAACCUCCUCUCCCUCCUAUAAAUUGGAGCGAGACAGAAGCAUAUUCCAGUGUCUAACUACUCUCUUGGUGAAGAAGUUUGUCCUAAUCACUGAAUGAUGGAUUAAUAGAAUCACAGAAUCAUAGAAUGGUUAAGAUUGUAUGGAACCUUAAAGAACAUCUAAUUCCAGACCUCUGCCAUGGACAGGGUUGCCACCCACUAGAAAAGUUUGCUCAGGGCCCCAUCCAACCUGAUUUUGAAUAUAUCCAGGAUUAUGAUACUCAGAGCUUCUCUGGGCAAACUGUUCUAAUGCCUCCCCACUCCCUGGGUAAAGAAUUUCCUCCUAACAUCUAGCCUAAGUCUCUUCUCUUACAGCUUAAUAUGAAAUCUUCAAGCUUCCACUGGGUAGCAUCUCUUCAUUUAUGUGUGUCCACUGCACCACUCAGCUUGGUGUCAUAUGCAGACUUGCUGGGAGUACACUUGAUCCCACUGUCCAUGCCACCUAUGAAGAUGUUAAAUAGCACUGGUCCCAGUACUGAUCCCUGAAGAACACCACUUGUCAUUGGUUUCCACUUGGACAUUGAGCUGUUGACUGCAACUCCCUGAGUGUGACCAUCCAGCCAAUUCCUUAUUCAGCUAGUGGUCCAUCCAUCAAGUCCAUUUUUCUCCAAUUUGGUGAUGAGGAUGUCAUAUGGGACAGCAUCAAAUGCACAAAUUGCAAAUUGUCAAAUGGCACAAAUCCAGGUAGAUGAUGUCAGUUGUUCUUGUUUUACCCACUGACACUGCAACUCCAUCAUAAUAGGUCAUCACAUUUGUCAGGCAUGACUUGCCCUUGGUGAAGCCAUGUUGGUUACCACCAAUCACCUCAUCUUUAUUUUCCAUGUGCCUUAGUAGGACCUUCAGAAGGAUCUGCUCCAUGAUCUUGCCAGGCACAGAGGUGAGACUGACUGGCAUGUAGAUCCCUGGAUCUUUGCUUUUUUUUGUCUAUUUGAAAAUGGGGAUUCUGUUUCCUUUUUUCCAGACAGUGGGAACUUCAUCAGACUGCCAUGACUUUUAAAAUAUGAUGGAUAGUGGCUUGGCAACUUCAAAAUUAUUCAAAUCAGUUUAACAUAGAGCAAGGGGUUGAUCUCAAUGUACUUAUAACUCUCUAAGCUUCACAUCUGUCUCAGAGAGAACUUGCAGCUUUUUAUACUUGUGAGACUCAUUAUUACCACCUUCAUUUUGAUAUUCACUACCUCCUUUAGCAGGACGAUUUUGUUUUGAUUACACUCUUCAAAAUGUCUGUAUGAAUAUGGGAUUCAAAUAGAUAUCCUAGGCAAUUCACCCAUACCUCUCUUGUGAAUAUUUACAUAAUUACAGAAAAAUAACUUUGUUAGGAGUGAUUGGCUUCUGAUAGUGAAAAGAGCUAUCUCCUUGGCAUACCAGUUUGUGCAGAGCGUGAGGCUUGGUCCUUUGCCUAUGUCCUUGGUCCUUUUGCCUAUGUGAAGAUGUAUUACUGCUUUGGUAGUCAAACUGAUUUAUUUUAAUUGUUUAAUUUUAUAAAUUGUCUGAUUCUAAGGUCUGACGUGCCAAUUAUGAUGCUCUAAUCUGACUACAUAGCACAGGGUGAAUAUUUGAAUUGAAGCUCUGUGGUUUUAUGUGGACAUUCCACCAAUGGACACUUUUGCCUUGAAGUCUUCAUAGACAUACUUCACAGUCUCCAGAGACUAUUGUCCAUAAUUUCAUAAAACAGCAAGAUGUUAGAAGUUUUGCCAUGUUCAUUUUAGAAAAUCCAAAAUUAAGUUGUGUUGAGGUACAUAAACAACUCCUCUGGUAUUUUGGUUAAGAGCUUUUAUUAUUAAUAGAUCACAAAGACUAAAAUAAAAUUAUUCUUCUGACUCAGCACACAAUUUUUUGUAAAUUCUAAUAUGCAAUUUUAUCUAGCCGCUAGAACAAUAAGGCUUCAUUUCCAUGAAUAAUCAUCUUUUCUAUCUAAAUUACUCCUUCAAGGGUCUUACUACCUAUUGUGCCUUUAAUUAUCUUAUACUGUCAGAAAAUGUUAUUAAAAAUGCUAUGUAGAAUUUGUAGUCUUUCAACCAAAGCUGCUGCAGUCAUUUUUUUCCACCUUAGAAAUAAGUAUUAAAAACUCCAUGAUUUUUAAAUCAAAUCCAGGUUAGUUAUUACAAAAUCUGAUCAUGUGUUUUAUUUUAGUGAAAAUCCCCCGUUUACACAGGCAAAUGACUCAAAAGAGAGCCAAUGAAUUACUUUAUUUUAUGCACCACCUUAAUGUAAGCAAUAAUAUGUACAUGAACUUGUCCACCUCCUUUUUAAUUUCCUGAAUUAAAAUUAUAGCACUUUUAAAAAUGUUUAUAGAUAAUUAUUUCUUUUUAUUUC
ensembl:lncRNA